AUCAAUGGUGGGCUGGAUGGAGGAGCUGCAAGGCUCGCCGGGUCCCAGCGUAGUCGGUAAGGUCAACCUCGUUCAGUUCGCCGCCCAA
rnacentral:antisense_RNA from 1 species